CAAACGACUCUCGGCAACGGAUAUCCCGGCUCUCGCAUCGAUGAAGAACGUAGCGAAAUGCGAUACUUGGUGUGAAUUGCAGAAUCCCGUGAACCAUCGAGUUUUUGAACGCAAGUUGCGCCCGAUGCCAUUAGGCUGAGGGCACGUCUGCCUGGGUGUCACG
rnacentral:rRNA from 4 species